rnacentral:rRNA from 1 species
GACGAACGCUGGCGGCGUGCUUAACACAUGCAAGUCGAACGGAAAGGCCCUGCUUUUGUGGGGUGCUCGAGUGGCGAACGGGUGAGUAACACGUGAGUAACCUGCCCUUGACUUUGGGAUAACUUCAGGAAACUGGGGCUAAUACCGGAUAGGAGCUCCUGCUGCAUGGUGGGGGUUGGAAAGUUUCGGCGGUUGGGGAUGGACUCGCGGCUUAUCAGCUUGUUGGUGGGGUAGUGGCUUACCAAGGCUUUGACGGGUAGCCGGCCUGAGAGGGUGACCGGCCACAUUGGGACUGAGAUACGGCCCAGACUCCUACGGGAGGCAGCAGUGGGGAAUAUUGCACAAUGGGCGGAAGCCUGAUGCAGCAACGCCGCGUGCGGGAUGACGGCCUUCGGGUUGUAAACCGCUUUCGCCUGUGACGAAGCGUGAGUGACGGUAAUGGGUAAAGAAGCACCGGCUAACUACGUGCCAGCAGCCGCGGUGAUACGUAGGGUGCGAGCGUUGUCCGGAUUUAUUGGGCGUAAAGGGCUCGUAGGUGGUUGAUCGCGUCGGAAGUGUAAUCUUGGGGCUUAACCCUGAGCGUGCUUUCGAUACGGGUUGACUUGAGGAAGGUAGGGGAGAAUGGAAUUCCUGGUGGAGCGGUGGAAUGCGCAGAUAUCAGGAGGAACACCAGUGGCGAAGGCGGUUCUCUGGGCCUUUCCUGACGCUGAGGAGCGAAAGCGUGGGGAGCGAACAGGCUUAGAUACCCUGGUAGUCCACGCUGUAAACGGUGGGUACUAGGUGUGGGGUCCACUCCACGGGUUCCGUGCCGUAGCUAACGCUUUAAGUACCCCGCCUGGGGAGUACGGCCGCAAGGCUAAAACUCAAAGGAAUUGACGGGGCCCCGCACAAGCGGCGGAGCAUGCGGAUUAAUUCGAUGCAACGCGUAGAACCUUACCUGGGUUUGACAUGGAUCGGGAGCGCUCAGAGAUGGGUGUGCCUCUUUUGGGGUCGGUUCACAGGUGGUGCAUGGCUGUCGUCAGCUCGUGUCGUGAGAUGUUGGGUUAAGUCCCGCAACGAGCGCAACCCUUGUUCACUGUUGCCAGCACGUUAUGGUGGGGACUCAGUGGAGACCGCCGGGGUCAACUCGGAGGAAGGUGGGGAUGACGUCAAGUCAUCAUGCCCCUUAUGUCCAGGGCUUCACGCAUGCUACAAUGGCUGGUACAGAGAGUGGCGAGCCUGUGAGGGUGAGCGAAUCUCGGAAAGCCGGUCUCAGUUCGGAUUGGGGUCUGCAACUCGACCUCAUGAAGUCGGAGUCGCUAGUAAUCGCAGAUCAGCAACGCUGCGGUGAAUACGUUCCCGGG